GCAGCAAGAAGUUCCAGACGAGUUUGCAGAUUCCAUGGAGUGAGAUGUGACUCUGCACAGCCACCAUCCAAGGCACUGGAGAGAAGUCUUGCAGAUGUGAGAUCUGCGUAGCAGAUUGUUCUACAGUUACGAAGCACAGGGAAGAAAGGGACCUAGGACUGCCUCAAGCACUUUUGUUAAUCACAGAGACGAAACCUGCGCUUCGAAAACACGUCAUACUCAUUUCUUCAGGAAAUAUCCAUUUGAUGUAGGCGUGCAUUAUGAGGUGCUGCAACUCUUGGGCAGUGUUUUGCUGGGGGAGUGUUAUUUUUGCUGUCCAUUUCUAGUGGAUCCCACUAGCAUCUUGCUGGCAUUUUCUGGGGCAUGGUGCCUGUAGAAAUGAACAAGGGUUAGUGAAAAAGGCUCCCGUUGUCAUCAGGCGGUUCUGGAGAACCUGGCCCGAAUUCUGUUGUCAUGCUGGUGUGGAAGAGCAGUUCAACUGGUGUCAGAGGAUUUCCACUGACAUAAAUUUAGUAUAAGCAGGAGUAUCAUGGGGCUCUAUAUUGGACAUUUUCCACUUUCCGGGGUGAACAUGUGGAGUUCUCUCAAGCAGACGAACCUCAACAGGCAUAUUUAUUUUCCUUUGUCCUUGUGCUUAAUUUUUCUUCUAUUUGCCCGUGCUGUUUAACUCUGGCAAUAACCUGCUAUCUUCUCUAAAUGCAAUGGAGAAAGUGCAUAAUGAAAUAACAGUUACACAUUUUAGGGAGACUUUUCUGCUUACCACCAAUAUGAUCCUCAAAAUUGGCAAUAAUGUAUGGAUUUUGCUAUCAAUAGGCAAACCACUUGGCUGAUAAUGAUCAUGAUUAUUCAUCAUUAUUUUAUUAAUGGAUUUAUUUCAUGGCAUUUUGAAGUGUUGCAAGCUUCCUACAGAACAAACAGGCUCCUACACUGAGGAACUUUACAGGUAGCAAAAGCUGAGAGGACAGAAGAGAUUACUGAGCAUGUAUGAAGUGCUUUUUCACCACCUUGAAGUCCACACAUCUAUGUGUGUAGCUGAAAUCGCCUGUCACCUAUCAGCUCUGCUGUAUAUGCAGAACAUGCAGAGCUCCCUGAAGUCUUCAUCUUUGAGACGGUGACUAGCUGCCUUAACCCUUGUGCUAUUCUCCCUUAUGUCUGAACACACAUUUAAAAAAAUUAAGUAUAUCACACAUCUGUUGCAAGAGGAGCACUGCAUUCCCCUUCAGGGAUGUACAGCACUCCCCCUUUCUGCUCCAUGUGAUCUGGAAGGAGCUGGGGAACGCUGCCAGUGACAGCUUGGACACAGAGAGAAGCACGAUGGCAAACUGCUGCUGAUGCAUGCAGUACAGAUGUCAGUCUGGGAUCUGGUAGUGUAGGGGCCAUGCACACUCUGAUCGUGGGGCAGGGAGCUCGUCGGAUAAAACUACGCAGCCAGUUAACGUGCCAUCUAAAAGCUACUUUUAUGCCCUAAAGAGAUCAGUGUCUAUCAGUUUGGAUUUUACUUUAGAGUCUAGUAGCUGGAGAUGUAAUCCCUUACUGAAAGAAAUAAUCAUGGAUAGGAGAGAAAUAAUGGAUAGGUCUGCUGGAGUCGGAGAGCUGAGCUCGCGGAGAGAGGGAGAGUCAGUUUUAGCAGUCCAGGUCUCUACAGUGCUGUCAAACGAGUGACAGCGCCUGUAGCCGUGGUGAAGAACGUUGUACUUUUUCAAUGGUAAUCUGUGAGACGUUCAGGUUUGGGUACUGACAUGAGGGCACAGCCCCUCCGGGGCUCCAUUUACAGGCGGUGCGUGAGUGUGUGUCAGCCCCAGCCCCUUGCCAAAGGUGGGUCGGGUGGCAGGACGCAGAUAGUGUGCCGGGUGGGCCUCCUUUGAGCCGGGAUCUUGAUCUCCAAACCCCACAGGUAGUAGCUGCUAGACCACCUGACAGAGUUUUGAUGAAGGAGUCUGAGGCUGUAUUUUUUCCUAGUGACUAGAAACACAUGUGUCAGGUUUCAAAUUCCUUCAUUUUUUUUAACUGCUAAAUACAUUAGACAUGGAUUUCUGUGGCCUUAGAGCGAGUGAGGUUUGCAGGAAUUUAUGACGUGUUGUGUCUUUAUUGCCUGUACCAGCUGGCAGCUGGGUCUGAGGGGAUCCUGCAGCACACUUGUCCUUAUCUCUCGGUGAGCGUUCCUGGCACCGAGGCUGCGGUUGUCUUGCCAGGUAGGAAGCAGACACACGCACCAAGCGUGUAGUGAUUUUUCCUUCCGCCCACCUCCACGUGGGGGAACCCCGUCAGCCCUCGACUGAAAACUUUGCAGCACUCAGCACGUCUCAGGGCAGAAAAAGGGAUGCUGGGCACUAGGAUGAGAAAGAGGAAGGAGCGUGAGGAACAGGGACUGACGAUAAUCACAUGCCUCUUGAGGGUCAUGCGACCACAGUGUAUUAGGUGUGUGUUGCUGACUAGCAGCCUAAGUUUAUUAAAAAAGGAGAUUUUUUUCAUCUAAGUGUAUGAUGCAUAAGCGAUUGAAAGAAAAAAGGAGUAUGUGGGGUAAAGGUCUUACAGGACAGAUUUUAAUAGUCUGGUUGUGGUCAUUGCUGCCAAAUAAGCUAAUUUAAGAAGAAAAAUGUUGCAGCUGUGGAAUAUUAUUAUUUAUCUGUAAUCCCAUAGCAGCCAGAAACACAUAUCACAGAUUAGAAACAUACUGUAACAUACUGAACUCUUGUUUCUC